rnacentral:rRNA from 1 species
AAAGAACGCUGGCGGCAGGCCUAACACAUGCAAGUCGAACGAGAAGCCACCUUCGGGUGGUGGACAGCGGCAGACGGGUGAGUAACGCGUGGGAACGUGCCUUUCGGUUCGGGAUAACCCAGGGAAACUUGGGCUAAUACCGGAUACGCCCUCCGGGGGAAAGAUUCAUCGCCGAAAGAUCGGCCCGCGUCGGAUUAGCUAGUUGGUAGGGUAAUGGCCUACCAAGGCGACGAUCCGUAGCUGGUCUGAGAGGAUGACCAGCCACACUGGGACUGAGGCACGGCCCAGACUCCGACGGGAGGCAGGAGUGGGGAAUAUUGGACACUGGGCGAAAGCCUGAGCCAGCCAUGCCGCGGGGGUGAAGAAGGCCUUAGGGUUGUAAACCCCUUUCAGCGGGGAAGAUAAUGACGGUACCCGCAGAAGAAGUCCCGGCUAACUCCGUGCCAGCCGCCGCCGUAAAAC